rnacentral:rRNA from 1 species
UACGAGGGGUGCAAGCGUUGCUCGGAAUCAUUGGGCGUAAAGGGUAGGUAGGUGGUCUCAUUUGUCUGGGGUGAAAGCCUUGAGCUUAACUCAAGAAGUGCCCCAGAAACGGUGAGACUAGAGUCCUAGAGAGGGUCGUGGAAUUCCCGGUGUAGCGGUGAAAUGCGUAGAGAUCGGGAGGAACACCAGCGGCGAAGGCGGGGACCUGGAUAGGUACUGACGCUCAACUGCGAAAGCGUGGGUAGCAAACAGG